rnacentral:rRNA from 1 species
UACGUAGGGGGCGAGCGUUGUCCGGAUUUAUUGGGCGUAAAGAGCGUGUAGGCGGCCAGGUAGGUCUGCUGUGAAAACUCGAGGCUCAACCUCGAGACGUCGGCGGAAACCAUCUGGCUAGAGUCCGGAAGAGGAGAGUGGAAUUCCUGGUGUAGCGGUGAAAUGCGCAGAUAUCAGGAAGAACACCCGUGGCGAAGGCGGCUCUCUGGGACGUUACUGACGCUGAGACGCGAAAGCGUGGGGAGCAAACAGG